ensembl:rRNA 5S_rRNA 5S ribosomal RNA
GCUUACGACUACACCUGCCUGAGUACGUCUGAUCUCGGAAGCUAAGUAGGGUCGGGCCUGUUUAGUACUUGGAUGGGUGACCGCCUGGGAAUACCAGGUGCUGUAAGCU